GACGAACGCUGGCGGCGUGCUUAACACAUGCAAGUCGAACGGAAAGUCCCUGCUUUUUUGGGGUGCUCGAGUGGCGAACGGGUGAGUAACACGUGAGUAACCUGCCCUUGACGUUGGGAUAACUUCAUGAAACUUGGGCCCAUACCGGGUAGGAGUUCCUGCUGCUUGGUGGGGGUGGGAAAGUUUCGGCGGUUGGGGGUGGACUCGGCGCUUACCAGCUUGUUGGUGGGGUUGUGGUUUGCCAAGGCUUUGCCAGGUAGGCGGCCUGAGCGGGUGGCCGGCCCCAUUGGGAUUGGACUACGACCCAGCCUCAUACGGGACGCAGCAGUGGGGAAUAUUGUCCAAUGGAAGGAAGCCUGAUGCAGCACAGCCGCGCGGGGGAUGACGGCCUUCGGGUAGUAAACCGCUUUUGUCUGUGCCGAAGCGUGAGUGACGGUACUGGGUAAAGAAGCACCGGCUAACUACGUG
rnacentral:rRNA from 1 species